CCUACGGGCGGCUGCAGUCGAGAAUCAUUCACAAUGGGGGAAACCCUGAUGGUGCGACGCCGCGUGGGGGAAUGAAGGUCUUCGGAUUGUAAACCCCUGUCAUGUGGGAGCAAAUUAAAAAGAUAGUACCACAAGAGGAAGAGACGGCUAACUCUGUGCCAGCAGCCGCGGUAAUACAGAGGUCUCAGGCGUUGUUCGGAAUCACUGGGCGUAAAGCGUGCGUAGGCUGUUUCGUAAGUCGUGGGUGAAAGGCGCGGGCUCAACCCGCGGACGGCACAUGAUACUGCGAGACUAGAGUAAGGGAGGGGGAACCGGAAUUCUAGGUGUAGCAGUGAAAUGCGUAGAUAGCGAGAGGAACACUCGUGGCGAAGGCGGGUUCCUGGACAUUAACUGACGCUGAGGCACGAAGGCCAGGGGAGCGAAAGGGAUUAGAUACCCCAGUAGUC
rnacentral:rRNA from 1 species